rnacentral:lncRNA from 1 species
ACCUGACUGAGCUAUUACAUCAGCUGUGUGUUUUGACGAAUAUUCACGUUUAUUAUCUAUAAAUCUUAGUUUAAAAAAAUAAAAAUAAUCGGACGUCAUCCUUAAACGCGUCCAUCUAGGAACCGUUACUAAUUACCCGGUACAUUUACAGGUUGACCCGCAAAAGCGAUUCAGUCAGUUUUGGUAUAUAUUACUUUAUUAAAGAUUAAGAAUGUGUUUUAACGGUACCAAUGUACAUAUGGACAAAUAAGACCAAAUGCGCAAAAGACUCUGUUUAUUACAGUUUAUCCAGUUACUAUGAUUCAACUACGAAAAAGACGUCAGUCAGUCAAUUUAGUGACGAACCCUACAUCCAGCCAUGUGUCGUGUUUUUACCGUGAGCUGCCGAGCUCGUCUGCUGCCAGGCCACUGCCAGUAGUUUGACCAUCACAAAUUGGAUCAAAACCAGUGACUUUAAUUAACUGAAUGCCAAAAUGAGCUCUCUGCUGCUGCUGUUGCAAGAAAAGAAACCCGCAAAGGCACCAAAAUGUGACUACAGUAGUGUACACACAUCCGUCUUCUUCCCAAAUACCCGUUUCUGGGCCUCAGCCACAGUACCCAGCUUACCAGCCAGUACCUCAGCAAGCACACGGCGUACCUUACAUGACAGCACCUCCACCAUCAUACCAGGAAGCUAGUGAGAUAACACACACACACACACACACACACACACACACACACACACACACACACACACACACACACACACACACACACACAUAUACAUACUUCUGAGGUGUUUAACACAAAAUUGUGUUUUGUGUUUUCAGCUGAUCCAGCUCUCUUGCCACACAACCCAGGGAUGAUGUUCCUCCACCCCAGUCAGCCUUCUGGGCACUCAGACGUGCACACACAGUUGCCCUACAAUCCUGCUUUUUACCCAAACACAGCCUCAUUUAACCAACCUGUCAAUAAGUACUGAGUACCACUAGAUGGCGCCACCGUGUUAUGCAUUCCAUUGCAUUCCGCCACCUUCUUAUGCAUUCCAAACAGUCACAAAAGGGUCAAACCUGCUGAUGGUGCUGUAGCUGUGAAGAAAAAUGCCCUCAUAAAUAAUGUUUUGUUUACGUAUUGCUUGCAAUCAAUCGAUAUAGGAUUGAUUUACACAAUUGUUGGUCAAUCCACACACAAAGCUUAAGAAAUGAAACUAUUGCCGUGGCCUUGAUUAUUGAUACUGUUAAACAUCACUAUUUAAGGUCAGUAAAGGUCAGGUCAGUAUAGAACAGCUUUUAUGCACUGUGUAAAAAAUAUUAUUGAUGUCUGUCUGCCUGUGCUAAAGUGAGUUAUGAU